rnacentral:rRNA from 1 species
AGUGAACGCUGGCGGUAGGCCUAACACAUGCAAGUCGAACGGCAGCACAGUAAGAGCUUGCUCUUACGGGUGGCGAGUGGCGGACGGGUGAGGAAUACAUCGGAAUCUACUUUUUCGUGGGGGAUAACGUAGGGAAACUUACGCUAAUACCGCAUACGACCUACAGGUGAAAGCAGGGGAACUUCGGACCUUGCGCGAUUGAAUGAGCCGAUGUCGGAUUAGCUAGUUGGCGGGGUAAAGGCCCACCAAGGCGACGAUCCGUAGCUGGUCUGAGAGGAUGAUCAGCCACACUGGAACUGAGACACGGUCCAGACUCCUACGGGAGGCAGCAGUGGGGAAUAUUGGACAAUGGGCGCAAGCCUGAUCCAGCCAUACCGCGUGGGUGAAGAAGGCCUUCGGGUUGUAAAGCCCUUUUGUUGGGAAAGAAAAGCAGCAGGUUAAUACCCCGCUGUUCUGACGGUACCCAAAGAAUAAGCACCGGCUAACUUCGUG